UGGAUACAUUCCGGAAAGCGGGGGAUAGCCCAGGGAAACUUGGAUUAAUACCGCAUGUGGUCGAAAGACUAAAGGUGGGGACCGCAAGGCCUGCCACUUUCCGAUUGGUCCGCGGCCUAUCAGCUAGUUGGCGGGGUAAAGGCCCACCAAGGCUACGACGGGUAGCUGGUCUUAGAGGACGACCAGCCACACUGGAACUGAGACACGGUCCAGACACCUACGGGUGGCAGCAGUCGAGAAUCUUUCACAAUGGGGGCAACCCUGAUGGAGCGACGCCGCGUGGAGGAUAAGGUCUUCGGAUUGUAAACUCCUGUCAUGCGCGAACAAGGUUGCUGGGUUAAUAACCCGGCAAAUUGAUGGUACCGCAAGAGGAAGAGACGGCUAACUCUGUGCCAGCAGCCGCGGUAAUACAGAGGUCUCAAGCGUUGUUCGGAAUCACUGGGCGUAAAGGGUGCGUAGGUGGCGUGGUAAGUCAGAUGUGAAAGCCCGGGGCUCAACCCCGGAACUGCAUCCGAUACUGCCAUGCUGGAGUACUGGAGGGGUGACUAGAAUUCUCGGUGUAGCAGUGAAAUGCGUAGAUAUCGAGAGGAAUACCAAAGGCGUAGGCAGGUCACUGGACAGUUACUGACACUGAGGCACGAAGGCCAGGGGAGCGAACGGGAUUAGAUACCCCGGUAGUCCUGGCAGUAAACGGUGCACACUUGGUGUGGGGGGAUUCGACCCUCCCCGUGCCGGAGCUAACGCGUUAAGUGUGCCGCCUGGGAAGUACGGUCGCAAGAUUAAAACUCAAAGAAAUUGAC
rnacentral:rRNA from 1 species